AACGAACGCUGGCGGCAUGCCUAACACAUGCAAGUCGAACGAGAUCUUCGGGUCUAGCGGCGCACGGGUGCGUAACGCGUGGGAAUCUGCCCUUUGGUUCGGAAUAACAGUUGGAAACGACUGCUAAUACCGGAUGAUGACGAAAGUCCAAAGAUUUAUCGCCAGAGGAUGAGCCCGCGUAGGAUUAGCUAGUUGGUGUGGUAAAGGCGCAUCAAGGCGACGAUCCUUAGCUGGUCUGAGAGGAUGAUCAGCCACACUGGGACUGAGACACGGCCCAGACUCCUACGGGAGGCAGCAGUGGGGAAUAUUGGACAAUGGGCGAAAGCCUGAUCCAGCAAUGCCGCGUGAGUGAUGAAGGCCUUAGGGUUGUAAAGCUCUUUUACCCGGGAUGAUAAUGACAGUACCGGGAGAAUAAGCUCCGGCUAACUCCGUGCCAGCAGCCGCAGUAA
rnacentral:rRNA from 1 species